rnacentral:rRNA from 2 species
CUUCGGGGUGAUUCUGGUGGAAUGAGCGGCGGACGGGUGAGUAACACGUGGGCAACCUGCCUGUAAGACUGGGAUAACUUCGGGAAACCGGAGCUAAUACCGGAUAGUAUUUCCUUUCUCCUGAUUGGAAAUGGAAAGACGGUUUCGGCUGUCACUUACAGAUGGGCCCGCGGUGCAUUAGCUAGUUGGUGGGGUAAUGGCCCACCAAGGCGACGAUGCAUAGCCGACCUGAGAGGGUGAUCGGCCACACUGGGACUGAGACACGGCCCAGACUCCUACGGGAGGCAGCAGUAGGGAAUCUUCCGCAAUGGACGAAAGUCUGACGGAGCAACGCCGCGUGAGCGAUGAAGGCCUUCGGGUCGUAAAGCUCUGUUGUUAGGGAAGAACAAGUACGAGAGUAACUGCUCGUACCUUGACGGUACCUAACCAGAAAGCCCCGGCUAACUACGUGCCAGCAGCCGCGGUAAUACGUAGGGGGCAAGCGUUGUCCGGAAUUAUUGGGCGUAAAGGGCUCGUAGGCGGUUUCUUAAGUCUGAUGUGAAAGCCCACAGCUCAACUGUGGAGGGUCAUUGGAAACUGGGGAACUUGAGUGCAGAAGAGGAGAGUGGAAUUCCACGUGU